CUUUUCUUCUUCCUAGGAUGGUAAUCAUAAAUAAGUAUUGAUCAUGGGAUGCGAUGACUCCUAAUUUUAUAGGGAUACAUGAUAAAGUAGAUUCACUGCCCCAAUCAAACGCACAGCUUAAAAUGUCUUUUAUAGUUCUUCCAGAUCGUGGAGUGGUUUUCAACACCGGAACUGACAGAUGGCUAAUUCUUAGAACUAAUCUUUUUUAUCUCUGGGGAUUAUUAAUAACAGUCAUAUAUCUUCCAAUAGUCAUA